AGACAAUAGAUACCCGGGUAGUCCACGCCGUAAACGAUGAGUGCUAAGUGUUAGAGGGUUUCCGCCCUUUAGUGCUGCAGCUAAACGCAUUAAGCACUCCGCCUGGGGAGUACGGCCGCAAGGCUGAAACUCAAAGGAAUCGACGGGGGCCCGCACAAGCGGUGGAGCAUGUGGUUUAAUUCGAAGCAACGCGAAGAACCUUACCAGGUCUUGACAUCCUCUGACAAUCCUGGAGACAGGACGUUCCCCUUCGGGGGACAGAGUGACAGGUGGUGCAUGGUUGUCGUCAGCUCGUGUCGUGAGAUGUUGGGUUAAGUCCCGCAACGAGCGCAACCCUUGAUCUUAGUUGCCAGCAUUCAGUUGGGCACUCUAAGGUGACUGCCGGUGACAAACCGGAGGAAGGUGGGGAUGACGUCAAAUCAUCAUGCCCCUUAUGACCUGGGCUACACACGUGCUACAAUGGAUGGUACAAAGGGCAGCGAAGCCGCGAGGUGGAGCCAAUCCCAUAAAA
rnacentral:rRNA from 1 species